UACGAGGGGGGCAAGCGUUGUUCGGAAUUAUUGGGCGUAAAGGGCGCGUAGGCGGUGCGGUAAGUCACCUGUGAAACCUCUAGGCUCAACCUAGAGCCUGCAGGCGAAACUGCAGAGCUUGAGUACCGGAGAGGAUGGUGGAAUUCCCCAAGUAGUGGUGAAAUGCGUAGAGAUCGGGAGGAACACCUGUGGCGAAGGCGGCCACCUGGGCCGACCCUGACGCUGAGGCGCGAAGGCGUGGGGAGCGAACGGG
rnacentral:rRNA from 1 species